CGCUGCGGUUCGGGACAGCUCGGCUCCUCUGCAAACAGGUGUUCCGCUUCUCCGGGUCACUUUUCACCACGAAGCGUCCCAGAACCUGAAGGGAGGCUUCUGGGUUCGGGACAGCCGCGGGUUUUUGGGGGGGUGGGGGGUAUAAAAAAGCCAGAAGAAGUCAGCUCUUUAUUAGCCUGGGCUGCCUGGUCGGGCUCAGACAGAGAGAGAGAGAGAGAGAGAGAGGAAAGAGAGAGAGAGAGGGGAGCGAUGGCAACGAAAAAGGCGUGCGUGGAUGCGCCCAAGAGGAGCCGGAGUCCGGUCGUGCUGGAGGCUGAGAUGUUCCGAGAAUUUCAGGACUGGUGUCUCCGAACUUACGGGGACUCCGGCAAGACAAAGACCGUCACCCGGCGAAAAUACAACAAAAUCAUGCAGACACUGUUGCAGAACGACGAGCCGGACGGGGUGUACGUGGACAACAGCCACAUCAACGCCAAAUUCAAAUUUUGGGUGAAGUCCAAAGGCUUCCAGGUCGGAACCAAUGUUCUGGGGGAGCACAACAAGAAGGGAGCGCCGGGGAAGCCCGUCCUUUACGUCCCGGUCAAGUCAACGUGUUCGGAUGGCAAUUCGGCCCAGGACAACUCCUCCCUGAAGCGCGUUGCCGUUGUCGAGGACUUCUUCGACAUCAUCUAUGCCAUGCACGUGGAGAUGGGCGCCGACCCGGGCCGAGCACCCAAACACGCGGGGCAGAAGAAAACCUACAAAGCGAUAGCUGAGACCUAUGCCUUCCUGCCCAGAGAGGCGGUGACUCGGUUCCUAAUGAGCUGCGGAGAGUGCCAGAAGAGGAUGCACAUUAACCCCAGCACCGCGGAGUUCAAAGAAAACGACCGACCCACCUCGCUGGUGCCGGACCUCAUCGACUACAACAUGCCUCUUACUGCCACCUACCUGAAGCAGAUGAAACUGCAGUGCAUGACAGCCACUGAGAGGGAUGACAGUUCGGUGAGCAGCGAGGACAUGAACAACGCUGAGCCCGCCUGGGUCGCAGCGGAGCCGCCAGCAGUGCCUGAACCGAGCCCACCCAACGCGGACCGGGUCAGCAACCCGGCCGCCAUCGUCAAAGAGGAGGACGAUGAUGACUCCUCGGAGAGUGGCAGCGCCAACGGGCUGCCGGCCCUGACCUCGCCGGAGGCGCUGGCUGCGGGUGCGAACCCCCAAGAUGGCGGGGCUUCCUACAGGGAGGUGGCAGAGAACGGGCUGAGCGCGCCGCUGGACUUCAGCACCACCUCGUCCUCGUCGUCCUCCGAGGAUCAGCAGCCAGUGAAUCUGAGCGACAGACUGCUGCCGGCCGGGAGCUCGCCGCCGAACAGCUACGCAGCAGAGCCCAACAAGAAGUUCCCCAUCAAAACAGAGUUCUCCAACAAGUCGCCUCCUUACAGCUCAGGGAGUUAUGACUUGGUGAAAACAGAACUGAGCAUGAGCGCUGAGGACUUGACCUCCAGUCGGGCGCAAAUAAUCGACGACGAUGACGACGAUCACGACGACCAUGACGACAACGACAGGAUCAAUGACGCUGAGGGGAUGGAUCCUGAGAGACUCAAAGCCUUCAAUAUGUUUGUGCGUCUGUUUGUGGAUGAGAAUCUGGACCGCAUGGUGCCCAUCUCCAAGCAACCCAAGGAGAAGAUCCAGGCCAUCAUUGAGUCCUGCAGCCGCCAGUUCCCGGAGUUCCAGGAGCGUUCCCGCAAGCGCAUCCGCACCUACCUCAAAUCCUGUCGCCGCAUGAAAAAAGGCGGCUUCGAGCAGAUCCGUCCAACGCCCCCUCACCUCACCUCUGCCAUGGCUGAGAACAUCCUCGCUGCCGCCUGUGAGAGCGAAACCCGGAACGCUGCCAAGAGGAUGCGGCUCGACGUCUACCAACCGACGGACGAGCCUGCCUCCGUUGACAAGCCCAUCACAAGGGAUCCAGCUCCUGUGGCGCCGUCAGGGUUCACUAUCGCCAGCGCAGCUUUUGCCCAAGACCAACUUUACACCAACGGAGGCCUCAACUACAACCUGCGGGGAUACGGGACAGUCGGCAGCACCCAGCAGAGCUCCAGUGCUGCACAAACCAACGGUCCCACAGAUCUGAGCAUGAAGUCCGUCGGCCCAAACUCCUCUUCGUCCUCCUCCUCGUCCUCCUCCGCCUCCAACAGUCACGGUCAGGGCGGCGGCGGCGGUGGGGCGUCCGCCCAGCUCAGCCCUCCGGAGGUGACGGCGGUGAGGCAGCUCAUUGCCGGGUACCGGGAGUCCGCGGCCUUCCUGCUCCGCUCGGCGGACGAGCUGGAGAACCUGAUCCUGCAGCAGAACUGAGUCCAAACCAAACCGUGCCAACGCCCUCCCCCCCUCAGCCUGUCCUCCUCUGUGUCUCUCACAUCCUGGCAGACGUUCACACACAAAGACACGAUCCUACAUGAGCGAUGCUGCAGUGCAUCGUGGGUAACGUAGGCAUGGAGCCUCCACCUGUUCCCACACGGCUAUGUUCUGAAACAUAUCACGGGCUGAAACAUGACGAUUUAUGCAUUUGGUUGACCUUAGUGCCCUGCUUUGUGUAGCCAUCCCAUCAACUUCAUCACACCAGUGGAAACCUCCAUUUGUCUCAGGAAGCGAUGAUCAGAAAAAAAAAAAAACAAAAAAAAAAAACGAUGUGUAUUGAUGAGGUGUUGGAUUAGUUUAACCCCAAAAACAUCAAAUUAGCGAAUCAACACUGUUAUUUCUGGUGUUAAACCAGAAAACGUGUGCAGUGCAGGUUUAAUCGGGUUUUAUUCUGAAUCGAGUCAUUUCUAACUUUAACACCGUGUUAACCUCAACAGCUGCUGAUUUUACAACGUACGCCAAAAAAAUAAAAUAAAAAAUACAAGAACGAACGAAAGGAUUAACCUAAACACAGUGACAAAAAAAAUCUGACAGAUUUGUAAGAAUGUCUUUAGCUAGGUUGAUUUUAUUUUCAGUUAUUUUUUGUGUAAAACUCUCUAUGGCAGGCUGUUUGUUGUCAAGGCAGAAAAAUUUUAGGAAAUGUGGGUCAGAAAUCCAUCCUGAUGAAUUAGAAAGUCGUUGAAUUGGUUAUUUAUUCCAGUAUUUCAAUUCAAAGUGGAACUCAUGUCUUAUUUAAAAUGAUACGUUAAUGUUUCUGAUAAUUCUCAAACGUAAUUAUUCCAUUUUUUCCUUCCACUCAACUUUCCAUAAAUGCAUAACUACAGUGGUCCGUGAACAUGUAAUAUUCAUAUGUUCUGAGAAACUGAUUUCUUUAUUACAUAUACUUAUAAUAAGUCCCUCCAGGAUUUCAUGGUGAUUUUUUUGUGAUUGUUGUGGCAAAAAAUGACAGAUUUUUCAAAUUUAAACUUAAUCUGAUCUUACAAAAACAUUUGGAUUGCAGCACAUAUCCUUCCCUAAAACAAUGGAUUUUAACAUAGUUAAUAUUUAAAGUGCAAUCAGGAUUUUCAAGUAGCUUUUUAAUGGAAAGUUUGGUGAAAGGAAAAAGUACAAUAGCAUUCUUGAGAUAAGAAUAUUGGAUUUUGGGCCUCCAUCACAUUGAUAAAUGCUUAAAAUAUGUAUGGAUGUGUAAUUAAUCUCUGAGUUUCACAAUUUAAAUUCAACUGGUGGAAUAAAUACACUUUUCAGUGAUAUAAUUAUUAUUAUUAUUAACUGAGAUGCACCUCUACUUGUCAGGGAGAAAAAGAUUAAUAUAAUAUUUAGACUGUUUGGUCAGGAACCAGUGCUAGUGGGAAGUAAAAGAAAAAGGUGCAAUAUGGAGUUAAUUUGUUUUUAAAAUGAAGGAGUUUCACCUCAGCCGUCUUUUGCUCCAACAGUCGAGUUUGUAAAAAGAAGAGAUAUCUAAUGCAGCAUUGUAGCCAAUUUCAAUGUUGUUGUUCGUCGUCAGUGCCGACCUCAUGACUGAGGCGCCAUCAGUCGUUCUUGUUGUGACAGAAAGGACCUGGCAGAAAAACGAGACUCGAUGUUGCACGUCUUGUUUUACUUUUGCGUGUUUUGAAGCGUUUUCUAUAGGUUUCUUUUUUAAAAAAAAGGCACACAGAGUGAAGCUUAGGCGCGUCUGCUGCUGACAGGCUGCACGCACUCCUCCUCCCCCUCCUCCACCUCCCUCCGUCUGCCCGUCUGUCCCGACGACCUCGGCGGCGUCCCCGCGUUCUUCAUCGCGUCCUGACACACGCUGUUCGACAAGAAGCAAGAGACAAUCUGAAGAAGAUGCGAUCGCAUCGCAGUUUACUCUCCCGGCUUUCUGCUACGGUGUGUGUUUGUACAGAGUGUCAGAGCACAGACGAACAUCUCCUACUGCUCAGCGCCAGGCUGAGGCCCGUCCGUCCAAACCAAACCCCCGCCUGCAGAUCGGCUCCCGUGCCCUCCGACCCCCCGCUGAGCAAACACGUUUAGCUGUGUGCUGAAGUUACUGUGACCAACAGCGAAAAAACUUGUCGUCAUGUUGUUGUUUUGUUAUAUUUCCCAACGACGCCCAAUGAUUUUUUGCUCUUUGUAUUGACUUGACAAUGUAAUCUAUUGGUGUUGACUAAAAUGCCCUGGUAGCUUGUGGAUUGCUAAAGUGGUCAGAUAAAUGUACUGUAUAGCUGUACAAAGAGUGAUAAAAGAUGUUUUGAACCUUUUCUUUUUCUGUGGGUACAGCACUGUUAAAAAAAUCAAAGUGGUUUUAGCCCUUGCCUGUUUUAACUUAUCAUUUUGUGAUGGUCUGUAUAACUUCUAUUGUUAUUUAUAUUAUUUGAGUUGUUGCCUCUCCUGCACUGGUAAGAGACUGUAGCUCUGUGCAGGGGUUCGUACUGUAAACCUGUGUGAAGCUUUGUAUUUUCCCUCUCUGGUUUUGGACUCAGUGAAAGUGUGAUGUUUACAUGUACAGUUUUUGAGAAUAUUUUGCGUUUUUUGUUUGUUUUUUGCAUCUUAUUCUUUCCCCCCCUCUCGCCCGCUCCUCUCAUCUAUCCUCCCCUCGCCCUGAUCUGUGUUCAUUCGCUUAGAGAGUUUUUGCUUUCUGUUGUUUCACUGCAUCGUGACCUCUCCGACGACUCGGUCACGCGGUCAGAGCGAGCCGUGCACGACGGCGCUGUGGUGGCUUCCAGCAUUUAAAAUGGUAAUAUUUAAGAGAAAAAGGAAAAAAAAAAACACAAGGGGGAGCUUCACAACUUCUCAAAGUGGACCAGCAAAGAUUUAUUAAGGAUUAAGAUGACUUUAACAGUUUUAAACCCUGUUGUGGCCUAAACAGAGUGAGCAGAGAACGGUGGGAUGUCGGUACAUUUAUUAUUCUACUAUAAGUGCUCGUAUUGACUUAGUAUCCUGGCGUGUUGUCGGGGAAAACUCCUCGUCCUUAAUCCGACUGGUGCCCUGAAAGGUUCACUUUGACCUGUUGUAACAUCUCCUGGUAACAUGAAAGCCAUUCCCCUCUUCUGGCCUUUAAAGGGGAACCCAUAAACCUCAGGAAAUACUGAUUCUCCGACUUUAGUUUUAUCCACUACUUUCUUCUAAAGUGAGAUUUAAGUCUCUAAACUUAAAAAAAAAAAAACAUUAACAUUUAUAUGAGAUGUCUAUUGUUUUGUACAUUUAUCAUUGUGAUUUAAAGGUGGAGCUUUUUCCAGUACCUGUGACUUAAUAUUUUGGGUUUUUCUUUUUUGAGUGUUUAUUGGUAUUGAUAUUUAUUAAUAUAUGUGAAACUACAAAAAGAAAAAAAAAAGACAAAAGAAAAGGUUGAACCUUUUUUUCAUUGGUAUGUUUCAUGCAAAACCGUCCAGGUGAGAUUUUCUCUGCCUCUUACAUAUCACUAACGAGGGACCUGUGUUCGUUUGGAAAUAGCGCUUUUUUUCAGUGUUGCAUCAACGCUAUGAAAAACUAAAAACUAAAAAAAAAAAUGGAUAAAAGUAAAAAAACAGUGAGAAAAAAAAACAGGAAGCAAAACAGUGGUUUACCAACUGCAGAGCUGCGAAGCUCUCCUCUUCUCCUGAGAUGUCAGUAAUUGAAUAAAACAGUGCGAUGAGCUAUCAAACUGA